AUUAUUCGGGCAUGCAGUAUAAAGAAAAAGAAAAGUUUAUGGUUAUAAAAAAUGGUUAAAAUAUAAAUAGUUGAUAAAAGGUUUAAAAAUCAUAUACUUGGGUACCAAUGUAUUUCAUUUACAGUUAGAGUCCAAUAAAUAAAAGGGUUUCAUGAUUUAGAGUUCAUGUACUGUGCAGAAGCAAUAUGUUUGGGUGUAACCUAAGUUUGUUUACCCAUCUAAUGUCAGUUAUCUUAAUGUUGUAUUGCCAUUGGUUGUUGUGCUGACGAGCCAGUCAAUGUCACUCUUCUCUGUUAUGGGGGCGGGACGAGUGGUAAAGGUUUGUGUGAAUCUGUGGGAGCGGACACAGAAGCUAAGUCCGAAGAGAGAGAUGUCGUAAGGCAAACGUGGUGUGGAUUUUGCAUCUAAGUGUAUCAUUGAGGUCGACUACCCGUGGUCCUGAUAUUACUUAUUUGUGAUCUGCAAGAGAAGCCGAAGGACGCUCUGGAAGGCGAGGGAGAGAGAGGUUUCUGCCCGGAUGGACCCUGCUGUUUUCUUGCCCCUGACUGUCUUCGCUACUGGUGAACUAACUGCUAACUGCCCGUUUCUGAUUGCCCCACUAACAAACUCAUUGGACUCGUGAGUACUAACUGGAACUAAAGUGCACGUAUUUUGUUUAUUGCUCAGUUUGAGUGAAGCGGCCAUCAGUUUUAGGCCUCACCGCACCCGAACUUCGAAUCAGGCCUGCAACAAGCACUGUGCUACAGGUGUAGUGUGGACAGGUUAAAGUGUGUGUGUGUGUGUGUGUGUGUGUGUGUGGGCCCACGGUUACAAAUCUGGUUUAAAUUGAGUAAGUGUGUAGUUGUAAUCAAAGUUAUUUACAAAGGUUGAAAUUCAUCCCUUUUCAAGGUGUGAGCUGUUGUAACUGAAAUAACACUUGGCUCCUAAGAAAGUUAUUUUGUUUUUGAAAAUCUUUUAUUUAUAACCCAUGUAGUCACAUUUACCGUGGUUUUCUUUGUUUAUUUGACUUCAAUUCAUUUCAUUUUAUAAAAGUAAGUGUUUAUUUUAUUUAUUUCUAUGUUGUCUAAAUAAAUACCCAGUGAGGGAUUUAAAUUUGUGUAAAAUACAGUUGUGGUGGUCCUUAUUAAUUAAUUUAGAGGGUAUCGGAUAUCAUUAUUAAUAGCACUACGAACCCAGGCCCAGUCUCAUUGUACUAAAUACUCUAGCUUUACCAUAGCUACGUGGGACCUGGGUUACAAAUAUAAAAGCUAUUCCUCAAGAUUCCUAGCGCUUAAAAGGACUUUUAAGGCGAGAUCUGCUAAGAGCAGGGAAGAGGACCUUUAGUGGCUUAAGAGUUCCCCUAAGCAGCUGCACAAAAUGGCCAACAGAAGAGGCAGGAGAGAUACCUUUAUGUUCUUUCACCAACUGGGCCAGCAACAAACCUUGCUCCUCAGUCCAGUUCGGCUUGCAAGUCCUUUUUUUUUUCUCCAUUUUCUGUGUUUGUAGGAUAUUUGUUAACAAGCCUUUAUAAAUAGACCAGCCAGCAAUCACAGACAUUGAUAAAAGCUGAGCCGUGUUACCCUCGUUAAGACCACACUGGACUUGUAACAUUGUGAUUUCUACUUCAUUAGCCCCUUGAGAUAGGCCAUCUUGUUUUCAAUGGGGUCCAUAUGGGAGUGAAAGUACAAAAUAUGCCAGCUAGGAUAUUAAUAUGAGCAAAUAAGACACAAAUCAUUAUUUGAACAGGGUGUAAUGGGUUUAAGUUUUCACAUAUUUUAGAUUCUAAUGUUAGGCUAAAACCCCUACAGCUUACUAUUCAUUUUCCAGAUAUUUUUUUGAAUGUGAAAUAUUAUUUACAAUUACAGUCAGCAUAAGAUUAGAGUGUAUAAUUAUGUUUAUUGAUUUGAGGGUACAUCCUUUGCUCAUUCUCACCAAAAGCACAUUUCCAUCAAACUUGUAGGAUCAACCAAUCACGGCUUUUGAAAUGAUGACUCAUACCUAGCAAUGGGGUCAACCACACCUCCUCACUAAGAUAGGAUUUUCCAUCCAUUCCUUGCUCAGAGUUCACUGAAAAUGUUCUGGAAUCACUUCUAAGCUAAAACUCCUGGCAAGGAA